rnacentral:tRNA from 1 species
GGAGGGAUGGCAGAGUGGUCGAAUGCGGCAGUCUUGAAAACUGUUGACCUGGCAACGGGUCCGGGGGUUCGAAUCCCUCUCCCUCCG